UGUAAGCGUAUACCAAAGUUGUUGCAGUUAAAACUCUCGUAGUCGGAAUUUGGCAGUUCCGGAUGUGUGCACGUCGUGUGCGCACUUCGCGGGGAUUGCUUUUGUGGUCUUGCGUAGGAUGAGGCACUUUUAUUAGUGAACGUCCUCACGCAACCACUUUUUACUGUGAGAAAAUCAGAGUGCUCAAAGCAGGCAUUUGCCGUGAAUGUAUUAGCAUGGAAUAAUAGAAUAGGACUUGGUUCUAUUUUGUUGGUUUGUUGGGACUGAGUAAUGAUUAAGAGGGACAGUUGGGGGCAUUUGUAUUUCGGUGCUAGAGGUGAAAUUCUUAGAUUACCGAAAGACAAACUGCUGCGAAAGCGUCUGCCAAGGAUGUUUUCAUUGA
rnacentral:rRNA from 1 species